AAUAGAUACCCGGGUAGUCCACGCCGUAAACGAUGAGUGCUAAGUGUUAGGGGGGUUUCCGCCCCUUAGUGCUGCAGCUAACGCAUUAAGCACUCCGCCUGGGGAGUACGGUCGCAAGACUGAAACUCAAAGGAAUUGACGGGGGCCCGCACAAGCGGUGGAGCAUGUGGUUUAAUUCGAAGCAACGCGAAGAACCUUACCAGGUCUUGACAUCCCAUUGACCACUAUGGAGACAUAGUUUUCCCUUCGGGGACAACGGUGACAGGUGGUGCAUGGUUGUCGUCAGCUCGUGUCGUGAGAUGUUGGGUUAAGUCCCGCAACGAGCGCAACCCUUGUUCUUAGUUGCCAUCAUUUAGUUGGGCACUCUAAGGAGACUGCCGGUGACAAACCGGAGGAAGGUGGGGAUGACGUCAAAUCAUCAUGCCCCCUUAUGACCUGGGCUACACACGUGCUACAAUGGACGGUACAAACGGUUGCCAACCCGCGAGGGGGAGCUAAUCCGAUAAAACCGUUCUCAGUUCGGAUUGUAGGCUGCAACUCGCCUACAUGAAGGACC
rnacentral:rRNA from 1 species